UGAGCUAGAUAGGCCAAUGGUCUGAUUUGGUAUAAGACAGCUUCCUAUGUUUCUGUGGAUCUAGAGUUUAGCUACAGGCUAACCCUAACCCUCCCUCCUUUAGGUGGAGUCUCUUCGGGGUUGGGACACAGAAGUCACCCCACAACUCCUGGGAAUGCAGCUAGGACAGACCAGAAAGCCGAAUCUCUUUUGGAAGGUCGCAUUUCACCAAGGCACUACUAGGAGUAUCCUCCCUAAUGUCCACCAACGUCCAUUGCAGUCCAGUCAGCUUGAUGACCUCCCAAAGGAAAGGAGUACCGCGCUUCCCAGCACAAUACGGUGGUCUGUGUUCCAGCCAGUCCCACAGCAGAACUGCGAGCGCAAAGCUAGGACCUUGAGAACAGCUCAACCCCCUCAACCCGUACAGUACCCCUCCCCUUUAAAGGAUCUCUGUACCACAGCAUCCCCUAGUGCUGAACGGAGGGAAUAGGGGGCAGCUACCGCGGGAAAGAGCGCCCUCCACUUUGCUCCUAACAAACACAGCGCCCCCUAGCAAUGGUGAGCCAACCGGAUGCGCAGCAGGAAGAAAGAGACCCCCCUGCUUCCAGGAGUGAUGGUGACCCGACCCCCGCCCCUUUCCUACCAGCCAGCUCCCCACGAGAGCCAGCUCUCCCUGCUUACCUGGCUGUCGCUGGUGCUAACGGCGGCUCCUCCGGUCGAGAGUCUCAGCUCAGCCUGAACUGGGCUUCUUCCCUCCCCACUCCCAUUUCGAUGGUGAGGGGCCGGCACAUGCGGCCAGGGGCAGCCAAUGGGGAAGCGGUUGCCUCCUCUUUGGUGCUUAGCAGGCGAGGCAGCCGCUCCAAGUGCGGGGGGCAAAGAAGGGAUGGACUGAGUGGAUCGCAUCUGGAGCUGCCUUGCCACACACACACACACACACACCCUGCUUGUCUGGUCCUUUCUUAAUCCAACAAAACUGAGCAUAUCUAAUUGGGACAAAGCUUUAGAGAGGUCGCCAAGCGCUGCCGCCGCCGGGGUGGGGGAGUCGGGACUGCUCUAAGGGCGUGCCCCAUGUGUGGGCGCGGCAAACCCACGAUUUGCGCUACUCCUACAUCUCGGGUCUGCGAACCUCUUUUAAAAAUUAUUCCCGAAAUUGCCUACCUGUAGGGCACGCCUCCACCUCGGGGGGCGGGGGAGGGCAUCUAGCUCAUAGGCGCAUUAAAGGGGGCGCCAGCUCCUACCCCUGGAUCAUACGCCUAAUCCACUGAAGGAGAUUCUCCUGUACAGCUCGUGUAGGUACGCAGUUGCGUAGCAGUGUGUGCAUCGGGCCCGACUAAACUUGAUGGACAGGCCUAUUGACCUCCACAACCAUACCACAGCCGUCCAUCUUCGGUGACACAGAGCAACAAUCUUUUUGGGCUGUCACAGGACCAAGGCAGAAUCACUACUUUGACAUGGCCACUUAAGGAUCCCAGGGAUGCUGAACCUCGAGGCCUCCACUUGAUGGUGAAUGGCUCUUCAUCCAAUUUGUUCACCAUGAGCAAAAGCUGACAUACUGCAUACUGGCCUGCACCCAACAUUGAACAGUCUUAUGAGAAUUCCAGUUCCUGAUCAUGGCUCUCCGAUCUAGUGGAUCUGCUGGAAUGGAACACUACCAUGAACUUCAUUCUAGGCAGGAUCACAGAAAAUGAGAACAUUAGAAUACACAGCAGAAAAUGAGCGCAUAAGAAAGGGCUAGGAUGGCAGUCUUGCGUCUCUCCUGCAAAUCACAGCAAAAUGAAGCAAGGAGAAGAGAAAAGCACUUGGGCCUCUUGCAGUGAAAUCCUAAUGCUUAAUUCCUUGUGGCACAAAGCCGUGUCUAGGUCAACUGAGACAGAGGGAAACUGAGGGGCUACAAAGAAUGGCCUGAAGAAUCGACAGGCCAGGCUACAAAAGAGUGAAGAAACUACCAAGCUUUCGAAUGAUGGUUGGCACUUUUUGUUAUCUAUCUAAGAGAAGAGGACUAUGGACCACAGAGGGGCAGGGUGAAGUAAUCACUGACCCCACUGGUUCCUUGUUUGGCACUAAAAUUCUGUUCAACCUGCUCUGUGAGUUGGCACCUUUUGCUGCUGAAUGAACUCCUAUCACUAACCUGGCUCAUCUGAUGUGUAGUGGUCCCCUUGCAGGAAGAAACAAGCCACCUGUUUCAUUGAAAACAGGGGGAGACAACAUUUCCAAGCCAGCAGCAUAAGCACGGGUCUCACAUACUGCUAGUCAACCUUCAACCCCCAAUUCUAGCCACCUAUACCAAGCAAGAAUGUGGGAGACUCAAAUCAGCCUCAGCUCAACCAAUAGCACAAUUAGUAGUGAGCCCCAUUGAAUCACACAUGCCCCUAGGAAAGCUAAGGAGACAGAAAGGCUUUUUAAGAAAUGCAGAGGGGUUGCCUGACUGGGGCAGGGGACAAUAGCCCCAUGUUGAAAGGGGUGAAGCAAAGUUUGGCCAACCCAGAGCAGGUGGGGCCUACAGAGAUCACACUCACUCAAAGCUGACCAUGGUCUCCAGCUUCACCUCCUGGUCCACCAGAACUAAGCUCUCCUGGUUCAGUGCCAGUGGUUUCUGGGGGGAAAAAAUCCAAGGAAAGGCAUCCAUAUAAAUGUGGUCACUAGAACAUUGCUGUACUUUUAUAUGGAUACCUGGCCGCACAUAUUGGCAUUAUGAUAUAUGAAGUUAUUGUAGAGCUGCUGAAACCAAGGGUACUACUAGAGAAAGGAAGCUUUAAUAAUACUGCAUUAAAAGCAUGACAUUGUGAAAGAAAAUGAUCUUGGUGACAAGCCAGGCACCGUGGCGGUCCACUUACAUUGGCAUAGCAGUGCUUCGCCAACAUAAGGGGGAUUCCACCCAAUCCAAUGCUGCUCAGACUGGAUUGCAUUGCACCCUUGAGAGGUUUUCCCUAUGUAAGACUGUCUUUGUUACACUUCUGUGUGUUUUGGUAUGAAUUACCUGCUGAUAUGAGUCCAUGUAUACCCUGCAUUAUUUUCCCUAGCAUUGCAACACACACUGCAGCUUCAAACCCUUCCAGCGUUCCCCAUGAUGAUGCUCAGCAUUGUCUAAUGACCUCCCAGGAUUCCUUUCUCUGGAUUUGUGUUAUUGUUAUUUUGGCUGGGUCAUAUUUGUCUUUGAUACUUUGGAAGAAUAGUUUUGAUUGAGCGGCAGUUAUAACUAGAAAGAGCUGUGGAACAGAUGUCUCUUCCAGGAAAUCUUGCCUCCUGCCAUGAAUUCACUGUUUCACAGUCUUAACCCUUCCUCUGUGUAUGGAGAUAAUAAUACUUGAUGUACCUUACUGAUGUACCUUACUGGUUGCACGGAUUACUGAGAACAAUAUAUAUGAAGUACUUUGAAUACUCAAAAAAUGCCUUAUAAGGGUUUAGAUUUAUUAUUAAUUAAGAAGUUUUAAAAGAUGUGGCAUUCAAUAAAUGGUUUAAUCAGGAA